UUGGACGGGCAGGGGCGCAGCCUGCGCAGCCCGCCGCGUGUGUGAAGAAGGCCUUCGGGUUGUAAAGCACUCUCAGUCAGGAGGAAAGGUUAGUAGUUAACACCUGCUAGCUGUGACGUUACUGACAGAAGAAGCACCGGCUAACUCCGUGCCAGCAGCCGCGGUAAUACGGAGGGUGCGAGCGUUAAUCGGAAUUACUGGGCGUAAAGCGUACGCAGGCGGUUUGUUAAGCGAGAUGUGAAAGCCCCGGGCCCAACCUGGGAACUGCAUUUCGAACUGGCAAACUAGAGUGUGAUAGAGGGUGGUAGAAUUUCAGGUGUAGCGGUGAAAGGCGUAGAGAUCUGAAGGAAUACCGAUGGCGAAGGCAGCCACCUGGGUCAACACUGACGCUCAUGUACGAAA
rnacentral:rRNA from 1 species